CACCAGAAUCCUGCGUGAUAGUCAUCUCGGAAUGGUUUAAAGGUGCAAGCUUGAUCUCCUAUGAAAUUACACAGGGGCAUCAUACAGUUCAGAUUGGGCUCUGCAUCAAGGGAUCUUCAUGGAAGAAGAGCUCCUCUCAGCAAGCUGGGCACAAGAUGGCUGGUGCGGCUGAUGUUCUCUAUCCUUGGAGAUAGAAGAGAGGAGAAAGGGUAACUGGGCUUCUUGGAAUAGAAGAGAGACAAAGUCUAGGAGAAUGUGGUAAGGUGUUUUGAAUCUCUGGGGCUUCCUUAUGUUUGAUCUGGGCAUUCUUUAUAACUCUAAUUUGGUGAUAAAGUCCUUAAAUGGGUAGUGUUUGGUCCUUAUUGGAUGGAUGGCAUGGGCAAGGGGGGCCUGGGGAAAGGGAAGUCUUGGAGAGAACUCUAAAAGGAAAUCCAUAAAAGAGGGAGGAGAACAAUGUCUCUCCCAGAAGCCUGCUGGAAAGGAAGGCUGAUGGAAGGUGCCUAGAGAUAAGGUAUUGAGUCAGAAAAGGUUAAACAGAAGAGUGCCUUUUGUAAAUGCUGAAAAUCUCAUGGCGGCUCAUUGUUAUUGCCCUGAUAUAUAGUUUCAUCUUC
rnacentral:lncRNA from 1 species